CUCGGAACAGCACCGAUGCGCCGGACUGAAAACGGGAGCGCGCACGGUUUUGCGUAUGCGUUUGCCUAAGCGGUAGCCCCCGCGCCUGCGCAAAAGCGCGCAUGAGACGUCGCGGAGCUGAGAGGGCUGUGUGCGUUGGUCAAAUCUCGGAGAUUCGUCCUCUGAGCUUCUGCUCCGUGGGGUUUUUACCGGAAACAGCCGGCCGCUUCCGGUGUUUCGGCUUUCCGGGCUUCGCGUGACUCCAGCCUGCCGUUAGGUGGCGUUCCUAGCGGUUAUUUUUUUGUUUCCGGUUGAAACACUGAGGCCAUUUCCGCAGAGCCAGUAGCCAGUUAGAAACGUUUACCUUGUCUUCUGAAUUGGCAGCCUGGAAACGUGAAGGAAAAUGGAAGUUAAGAUCAGUGUCAUUUCUAUUUCUCACCUACCACCACCUGCCCACCUGCUGGCUGCGAUCUGGACCUGCCAGCCUGCUGUAGCAAGGAAAGGAGGAGGAGGAUGUGUCAAGCUCUCCAAAUGGUGGCCCCUUCGGUUGGCACAAGGUGAAGAGGAAGCACCCCCACCCCCUCCUGCCUGGGGAGAAGAAGGGAGAUGUCCAGCAUACUGAUAAGUGCCUCUAGAGGAAUCCGCUCACGUUCUCUUCCAGGACCUGGAGUGCUUGGGACGAGAGAAUGUAAACAUCGACAGAACAGCAGCCCUAUAACCACAUGAGUACUUUCCCAUCAGGUAGAUUCCGUCAGCCAGCCGAGUGUGUCAUUUCCUUUGCUUGCUGGGAAGUCACUGAGUUUUCC